CUCUCUCUCUCUCUCUCUCUCUCUCUCUCUCCCCUUUUUUUUGGAUAAUGAAAUAAAUCGUUAGACAAGAAUCAAUUAAGAAAAAGUUCACCUUAAAUCUCAAAAUUGGACAUAAUCGACUACAUUAAACAAGGGACAAAAGGAAGAAAUAAAAAUCUCCAGAAAUCCUUAAGCAUAAGGGGGAAAAGGUAUUAUAAGAACUUAAAGAUCUCGCCAAGCAUCUAAUUAACAAAAUGACCAUUCUCUAGCUAUAGCCUAACGAUCCAUGGAUCAAAAAUGCCAGCAAUAAAGAAACUAUAAUCGAAUACAUCCACUAAGAGGCGAUGCAAUGGGCUAUAAAAAUAGCUGGAUUAGCUGAUACCUCUGUGCUGGUCUCCGCGGGAGUGGAGAAGGGGUUGGCCGCCUUGGCCCGGAAGGGAGGCGGAGGGGGAUGAGAAGAAGAGAGAGGGAACGAGAGGCGAUUCAUAGGCAUCGAUAGUGACCAAGGAUCGGAAGCGGAAUUGGGGCUGGGGCGUGCCAGAGGCAAGCGCGGCAGAGAGCAAGCGAGAGCCAUGGGAAAGAUUUCGAAGCACCUUUUCUUCUAACCCCUCUU
rnacentral:lncRNA from 1 species